UAACGCGUAUGCAACUUACCUAUCAGAGGGGGAUAGCCCGGCGAAAGUCGGAUUAAUACCCCAUAAAACAGGGGUCCCGCAUGGGAAUAUUUGUUAAAGAUUCAUCGCUGAUAGAUAGGCAUGCGUUCCAUUAGGCAGUUGGCGGGGUAACGGCCCACCAAACCGACGAUGGAUAGGGGUUCUGAGAGGAAGGUCCCCCACAUUGGUACUGAGACACGGACCAAACUCCUACGGGAGGCAGCAGUGAGGAAUAUUGGUCAGUGGCCGAGAGGCUGAACCAGCCAAGUCGCGUGAAGGAAGAAGGAUCUAUGGUUUGUAAACUUCUUUUAUAGGGGAAUAAAGUGGAGGACGUGUCCUUUUUUGUAUGUACCCUAUGAAUAAGCAUCGGCUAACUCCGUGCCAGCAGCCGCGGUAAUACGGAGGAUGCGAGCGUUAUCCGGAUUUAUUGGGUUUAAAGGGUGCGUAGGUGGUGAUUUAAGUCAGCGGUGAAAGUUUGUGGCUCAACCAUAAAAUUGCCGUUGAAACUGGGUUACUUGAGUGUGUUUGAGGUAGGCGGAAUGCGUGGUGUAGCGGUGAAAUGCAUAGAUAUCACGCAGAACUCCGAUUGCGAAGGCAGCUUACCAAACCAUAACUGACACUGAAGCACGAAAGCGUGGGGAUCAAACAGGAUUAGAUACCCUGGUAGUCCACGCAGUAAACGAUGAUUACUAGGAGU
rnacentral:rRNA from 1 species